rnacentral:lncRNA from 1 species
AAAUCCGGAAAUAUCCGAAAGUAACCGAGUAUGCUGAAAUGUCAAACAUGGCUGCACGUGGAAUUUUGAGACUGGGAACAAAGUUACAUUUGACGAGAACUUUUGAAUUGAAUGUACCGAAAAUCUAUGUUCUGACAUCACAGGUUGGCUGUGUGAACUGUGCUGAAUCUAGACAGAGACAUUUACAUUCAGUAGUUCAGUGUUCUCAACAUCACAUCUUCAAUAGA